GCUCCCUCCCUAGUCCGAUGUCCGAUCUCCCCUCGGCCUCGGCCUCCCGUCUCCUCGGCUCCUCGCCCACUUCGUCCGCCGCCUGCGCUGCGCCGAGACGCCGCCGAUCCCCAUCCCGCGAGCGGCGGGGCCGGCCUCCAUCCCGUGACCGCGAGCAGGAGCGCCGGCGCGGGGCACGUGCUGCUGCUUCCACCAAUAUCAUCGCCGGUGAGGGCACCCGAUCUGGAAGCCUUUUUCUCUUUGCCCUAACCAAUAGAAGUUCGUUUCCAAAUCAAGAUUUUGGGGGUUCAAGUAAACCCCCAUGCCCAACGUAAGAACUUGUUAAGCCAUAGGCUCUGGUUCCAUAUGAGAGAAGAUCCAUAUGCUCUUUUGAGAUAGUUUGGAAAAUGGCAUCAAAGAAAGUAUAAGUGGGUUAUGUCAAGAAGGCCUGUGAUUUUCUAGAAUCAAUUUGGUGAGCCGAAUGAUGGAGUGCAACAAAGAAGAGGCCCUCAAGGCCAGGGAUAUUGCUGCAAAGAAGAUGGAAAGCAAAGACUUUGUUGGUGCCAAAAGGAUCGCGCUUAAAGCUCAAAGGAUUUUUCCAGAGCUUGAGAACAUAUCCCAGAUGUUAACUGUCUGUGAAGUACAUUGUGCGGCAGAAGCAAAGAUGAAUGGACUAUUGGACUUCUAUGGAGUUCUCCAAGUGGAUGUAAUGGCGGAUGAAGCAACCAUUAAAAAGCAAUUCCGCAAGCUUGCUUUUUCGCUUCACCCUGAUAAAAACGGUUUCGCUGGCGCUGAAGCUGCUUUCAAAUUAGUUGCAGAAGCUCAGUCAACAUUGUCUGAUCGAACAAAACGGCGUGCAUAUGACAUCAAAUGGAGAAUUGCAUCAAAGCAGGCUACGCAACCAAAGCAGGGUGCCCAACCAGCGCAGGCUGCCCAACCAAAACAGUGUACACAACCACCGCUGGCUACAAAACGAAAUCAGAGUGCACAACCAACGCAUAAUACACAGCAGAGUGCACAGCCAAAGCAGAGUACACAACCGAUGCAGGCUACUCAACCGAAGCAUGCUACUGAACCAAUGGAGAAAACAGAUGCAAAUAGAGCUAGUAAUGCUAAGGAAGGAUAUGGAUCAUCAGUUCGACCACCCAGUGCUGGAGAAGCAUUCUGGACAAUGUGUGUUAACUGUAAAACUAAAUAUCAGUACUACUCCAAUGUUCUGAAUCAUAAACUCCGUUGUCAGAACUGCAAAAAAGAUUUUCGAGCAGUUAUGCUAAAUGAACAGGAUGUGCCUUCUGUAUUCUCAUCAAGUGCAGCCAAAAGUGCAGGACAACAUUGUGACGUUCCCAAACAAGAGGACUGUUCUACGAAGUUCUCUUCUGCAGCGAAUAGAGAUGCAAAGCCCAUGGUGAAUGGAGGACAACAUGAUGAACAAAUGAAAAACAGUGCCAGUGUCAGAGCAGGUGGUGAGGGGACAGUUAACCAUACAGAGUCAAUCAGAAAAGGGGGACUUGAAUUUUCAACACUGCAUGUAUCUUCUGCAGCAAAUGUUGGUAGUAAGGCAGGGGGAAAGAUGACAUCGUGCCCUACUCCAGAUGUUGCUGGUAGACAAAACCCUGGUAAUAGGGUAAAUACAUCAGCAGAGACAGGUGUGAUGAAUAUUCCUAAUCCACGGAGAUCGGCUAGGAGGAAGGAAAAUGCUGAUGCCAGCAUCAUCCAGGAUACGCCUAGCAAAAAGAGGCGAACCAUAUUAGAUUGGUUUUCAAAUCCUGACUCAAGUCGUAAGAAAGUGGCUGAUGAUAAUGUUGUCCGUGCUGAUGGACAAGCUUGUGAACCUCAUGUCUCCAGCGAAGCACACAACCACCAGAAAGGAACUACUAGCAAUGAAGGAAACCAGGAAAAAAGGAAAGAUGUUGCACAUGAUACAAAUGCUCAGAAGAAAUCUGGCAUUCCUGGGAACUUUUCCUAUCCUGACCCAGAAUUUUUUGACUUCGAUAGGUGCAGGGAUGUUAGUAUGUUUGCAGUUGAUCAGAUCUGGGCACUUUAUGAUGACCGUGAUGGCAUGCCACGAUAUUAUGCUCGUAUAAGACGCAUUGAUACAACCAACUUCAGAGUUCAGUUCACUUGGCUGGAGCAUGAUGCAAAGAAUGAGGAAGAGGACAAAUGGACUGAUGAAGAAUUGCCUGUGGCUUGUGGGAACUUUUUCUUAGGAAAAACAGUGGUGUCACAAGAUGCCCUCAUGUUUUCUCAUAUUGUGUCAUGGGUGAAAGGUAGAAAAAGGAGCUCAUACGAAAUAUAUCCUAGGAAGGGUGAGGUAUGGGCUCUAUAUAAGGGUUGGAGUAUGCAGUGGAGCUCAGAUGCAGAUAAGCAUAGAGCCUAUGAGUAUGAAGCUGUGGAGAUCUUGUCAAAUUUCACAGUGGAAGCUGGUGCUGCUGUUGGCCCUUUGGUAAAGAUUAAAGGUUUUGUGAGUCUCUUUGCAAAAGUAAAGGAGAAACCAUCAUUCGUUAUACCACCAAGCGAAAUGCUACGGUUCUCUCACAGUAUCCCAUUUUUUAGAACAAAGGGAGAUGAGAAGGUAGGUGUUGCUGGUGGGUUUCUUGAACUAGAUACUGCAUCACUUCCUAGUAACUUGGACGUAGCCUUUCCAUCGGUUACUCUUGAUUCUUGCAUGCCUGUCUGCAAGACAAUGAACAGUGGAUUUAAUGAUUUCACUGGAUAUGAGCAAGGUGCGCUGAAAGAAAAUUUGAUGAACGAAGGUAAACGUAAAGAUCAUUCCCUUGAACGAACCCCAGUGCAUCAACAGAGUGCUGCCUAUUCCUCCCCCAGUACUUUUGAUUACCCAAACUCUGAAUUUCAUAACUUUGAAGAAUAUCGAUCAUAUAGUAAGUUUGAACGUGGCCAGAUAUGGGCUCUUUACAGUGAUCUUGAUCAAUUUCCAAAGUACUAUGGUUGGGUGACCAAAGUUGAUACAGAUCCGUUCAGAGUGCAUUUGACUUGGCUCGAAGUCUGCCCUCAGCUGGAGCAGGAGAAUAUGUGGUUAGAGCAGAAUAUUCCUGUGAGCUGUGGGACUUUUAAAAUCCGCAACUGGAGGAUAAAGUUAGACACGAAUGAUGCUUUCUCUCAUUUAGUAGAAACUAGCCAAGUUGGUUGGAAACGAUACUUUGAAAUUCAUCCACAAGUAGGGGAAAUUUGGGCCAUCUACAAUAAUUGGGCACCUGGUUGGGUUCCUUCCAGCAAGGAUACUUUCGAGUACACAAUUGGUGAAAUUACUGACUGCACUGAAGCUAGCACAAAAGUCUUACUUUUGACCCGAGUAGAUGGCUACAGAGCUGUGUUCAAGCCUGACAGUGUAAGGGGCACUCUGGAGAUACCUACAAAUGAAAACAUAAGGUUUUCUCACCUGAUACCUUCUUUCCGGCUGACAAAAGAAAACGGUGGCAAACUCUGUGGCUUUUAUGAGCUGGAUCCAGCUUCUGUUCCUGAUACUUUCCUGUUCCGGAGCGGCCGCUGAUUGGCAAAUGUUGAUGCUGACUGUCCUGGAGAUAUAGGCUAGUAGCUGCUUCCAUGUGAUCGCCAACAGCAAAUAAACCUGACAGAGGAUGAGAACCAUGGAUGACUGAGAAUGGAACAGCUGGUUCAUGAUGAUGCAGAGGAGAAUGGCAUGUGUCUUUUCCAAUUGGCUUGCUUCGAUCCUUCAAUCAUUUCCUUGGUAUUCAUAUGAACACAGGGACUGCCAGAUGAUGCUAAGGUCUCCCAAGACCAGGGAGUCUUGACACAGAUGCUGAGAUGGAGAGAAGAGUUUAGAACCAACACAUGCCAAGCAAUUAGCUAAAAGAUUUGGUGAUUAUACAAGCCUGAAUUUUCGCAGAGAAGGCCGUGGCUACAAAAUGGCUGUUACUGUAGAUUCUUCGUCACAUUUUGCUAGGAUGAGAAGUGAGGUGUUCUGGAAUUCUUUGGGCACAGUUUUUUGGAAGAUAGGACUCGUGUCUACAUGAUAUGCAAUAUUCUGCUGACAUGGAUGAGGAGAGAAAUUUCAUGCACAAGAUAUGGUCAAAUUGUAUCAAUCUGUUGUAUGGUAUAUAGUUUCGAACGGUCUUCAUUUCGGCUACAGGGACCAAAGAAAAAUGUUUCUGUCCAAAGAUUGAAUUUUUUUUUUGGUUAAAUGAUUCUGGAGUUGGAAAAUGUUUGUAUACGAGUAUUGGUGAUGAUGGAGGCGGAGGCGUACUCCAGCCGUUUUUGUUAGUUACUCAUCCGUUUCACAAUAUAAGUCAUUUUAGCAUUUCCCACAUUCAUAUUGAUGUUAAUGACUUACAUUGUGAAACGGAGGAAGUAUAUAUUAACCCUUGUUUGGAUGACUGGUUCUGCAACCUUUGUGGUUCUGUUGAUGAUGGUUUUAGCAAGGAAUGGUCCGUACUGAAAGUUUUGUACUGAUUGUAAAUUUCACUCGGUUGAAUUCACUUCCAGUGUUCAAUUUCA